AUUAGCUAGUUGGUGGGGUAAAGGCCUACCAAGGCGACGAUCGAUAGCUGGUCUGAGAGGAUGAUCAGCCACACUGGGACUGAGACACGGCCCAGACUCCUACGGGAGGCAGCAGUGGGGAAUAUUGGACAAUGGGCGCAAGCCUGAUCCAGCCAUGCCGCGUGCAGGAAGAAGGUCCUAUGGAUUGUAAACUGCUUUUAUACAGGAAGAAACACACCCUCGUGAGGGUACUUGGCGGUACUGUAUGAAUAAGGACCGGCUAACUCCGUGCCAGCAGCCGCGGUAAUACGGAGGGUCCAAGCGUUAUCCGGAAUCAUUGGGUUUAAAGGGUCCGUAGGCGGUUUAAUAAGUCAGUGGUGAAAGCCCAUCGCUCAACGAUGGAACGGCCAUUGAUACUGUUAAACUUGAAUUAUUAGGAAGUAACUAGAAUAUGUAGUGUAGCGGUGAAAUGCUUAGAGAUUACAUGGAAUACCAAUUGCGAAGGCAGGUUACUACUAAUAUAUUGACGCUGAUGGACGAAAGCGUGGGGAGCGAACAGGUUUAGAUACCCUGGUAGUCCACGCCGUAAACGAUGGAUACUAGCUGUUCGGAGCAAUCUGAGUGGCUAAGCGAAAGUGAUAGUAUCCCACCUGGGGAGUACGUUCGCAGGAU
rnacentral:rRNA from 1 species